rnacentral:lncRNA from 1 species
UUCAUAAUAUAUUGAUUCUGAUUCAGGUUUCUGCAAGAAACAUUUCCUUUUUAAAUGAAGCAAGUCUUGUGGGUCCUAUAAAUCCCAAAUUGACAGUAACAGGAACCUCCCCUUGCAGUAAUGAAAGAAAUCACUGACACUAUUUCAAAUUCAUAGUUUCUUCUGAAGGUUUAAAGAAGAUGAAAACAACAAAGAGCAUCGACAACGUGAAAGACCCUGAGAUCAUUGGACACUAGUUGAUGGCUGUUGGAGGCCUACUGAGAAGAGGAAUGAGAUCUGCUUUCACCAUGAAGUACUUCCCUAGAAGUCAGCCAUGACACCCCAAAAGGUAUCUGAGCUGCUGAAGGCUAUCUUUGAGGAGCAGAUGUUGGUGGUAUGACAGUAGAGAUUGCACCUUCCCACCAGUAUUCCACUACAUGUUGUUGCUGUAUGACAGAUGGCAGCAGAGGGGCAGUCUGACAAAAAGUCGUCUGACAUGGAAGUGUGUAUGAAGCAAAGAUGUGCCACUGAAUUCUUCCUAGGGGAAAAAAAUGGCACCCACUGACAUUAUUGACAUUUGCUGAACGUUUCUGGAGACUAAAGAGUGGAUGUGAGCACAGUGAAGUGAUGAGGCAUUUCAACAGUGGCAACAGCAACAGUGGAUUGCCUUUGCUGGUAC